rnacentral:rRNA from 1 species
UACGGAGGGGGUUAGCGUUGUUCGGAAUUACUGGGCGUAAAGCGCACGUAGGCGGAUUGACAAGUUGGGGGUGAAAUCCCGGGGCUCAACCCCGGAACUGCCUCCAAAACUGUCAGUCUUGAGUUCGAGAGAGGUGAGUGGAAUUCCGAGUGUAGAGGUGAAAUUCGUAGAUAUUAGGAAGAACACCAGUGGCGAAGGCGGCUUACUGGUCCGGUACUGACGCUGAGGUGCGAAAGCGUGGGGAGCAAACAGG